rnacentral:rRNA from 1 species
AAGUGGGGAUGACGUCAAGUCCUCAUGGCCUUAUGCCCAGGGCUACACACGUGCUACAAUGGGCGGUACAAAGAGAAGCAACCUCGCGAGGGUGAGCAAAUCUCAAAAGCCGUUCUCAGUUCGGAUUGAAGUCUGCAACUCGACUUCAUGAAGUCGGAAUCGCUAGUAAUCGCGGAUCAGCAUGCCGCGGUGAAUACGUUCCCGGGCCUU